UACAGAGGUCUCAAGCGUUGUUCGGAUUCAUUGGGCGUAAAGGGUGCGUAGGCGGCGCGGUAAGUCGGGUGUGAAAUCUCGGGGCUUAACUCCGAAACUGCAUUCGAUACUACCGUGCUUGAGGACUGGAGAGGAGACUGGAAUUUACGGUGUAGCAGUGAAAUGCGUAGAGAUCGUAAGGAAGACCAGUGGCGAAGGCGGGUCUCUGGACAGUUCCUGACACUGAGGCACGAAGGCCAGGGGGAGCAAAACGGGG
rnacentral:rRNA from 1 species